UACCCCGAAGAUCCUGGCUACUGUUGAUAGAUUCACAUUGUAUUUGCGUUGGUUUUGAAGAUGAUUGUAAUACAGGAUUUUGUUUGUGGGUGAUCUCCUAGCUGAGUAGUAUUCUAGUUGAAACUUAAUGGUUGAAGUUUUUUAUCCUCAAUAAAUUUGAGGAUUGAGGUGACAUUUUAGUGCCACUGUGCCACUGACAUGCAGUCCCACAUCAGAAAGCUGCUGAAAGACCAGACUUUAGGCAAAUGUUCUGGUUGCUUGAAUGGAAUCUUUGGUGCAAGAUGGUGUGUAAUGCUAGCCAAGCGCAAGCUUGGUGCCUUCAUAGCAGCUGUGAUUCUUACUCCAAUUGUGGUGCUUUCCAUCCUAGAAA